ensembl:lncRNA
GCAUGGGUAUGGGGUCAUUGUAGGGUCAUCGGGGCAUGGGUAUGGGGUCAUUGUAGGGUCAUCAUGGCAUGGCUAUGGGGUCAUCAUAGGGUCAUCGGGGCACGGAUAUGGGGUCAUCUUAGGGUCAUCGGGGCACGGAUAUGGGGGCACUGUAGGGUCAUCAUGGCAUGGCUAUGGGGUCAUUGUAGGGUCAUCAUGGCACGGGUAUGGGGUCAUCGUAGGGUCAUCAUGGCAUGGCUAUGGGGUCAUUGUAGGGUCAUCAUGGCACGGGUAUGGGGUCAUCAUAGGGUCAUCGGGGCACGGGUAUGGGGUCAUUGUAGGGUCAUCGGGACACGGGUAUGGGGGCACUGUAGGGUCAUCGGGGCACGGAUAUGGGGGCACUGUAGGGUCAUCGGGGCACGGGUAUGGGGUCAUUGUAGGGUCAUCGGGGCAUGGUAUGGGGUCAUUGUAGGGUCAUCAUAGCAUGGCUAUAGGGUCAUUGUGGGGUCAUCAUGGCACGGCUAUGGGGUCAUCAUAGGGUCAUCGGGGCACGGAUAUGGGGUCACUGUAGGGUCAUCGGGGCACGGAUAUGGGGUCAUUGUAGGGUCAUCAUGGCAUGGCUAUGGGGUCACUGUAGGGUCAUCGGGGCACGGGUAUGGGGUCAUUGUAGGGUCAUCAGGGCACGGAUAUGGGGUCAUCAUAGGGUCAUCGGGGCACGGGUAUGGGGUCAUUGUAGGGUCAUCGGGGCAUGGUAUGGGGUCAUCGUAGGGUCAUCGGGGCACGGGUAUGGGGUCAUCGUAGGGUCAUCGGGGCACGGCUAUGGGGUCAUUGUAGGGUCAUUGGGGCACGGGUAUGGGGGCACUGUAGGGUCAUCGGGGCAUGGUAUGGGGUCAUUGUAGGGUCAUCAUAGCAUGGCUAUAGGGUCAUUGUGGGGUCAUCAUGGCACGGCUAUGGGGUCAUCAUAGGGUCAUCGGGGCACGGCUAUGGGGUCACUGUAGGGUCAUCAUAGCAUGGCUAUAGGGUCAUUGUGGGGUCAUCAUGGCACGGCUACGGGGUCAUCAUAGGGUCAUCAGGGCACGGCUAUGGGGUCACUGUAGGGUCAUCAUGGCACGGCUAUGGGGUCACUGUAGGGUCAUCGGGGCACGGAUAUGGGGGCACUGUAGGGUCAUCAGGGCACAGCUAUGGGGUCAUCGUAGGGUCAUCGGGGCAUGGGUAUGGGGUCAUCGUAGGGUCAUCGGGGCACGGGUAUGGGGUCAUUGUAGGGUCAUCGGGGCACGGCUAUGGGGUCAUUGUAGGGUCAUCGGGGCACAGCCAUAGGGUCAUCAUAGGGUCAUCAUGGCACGGCUAUGGGGUCAUCGUAGGGUCAUCGGGGCACGGAUAUGGGGUCAUUGUAGGGUCAUCGGGGCAUGGGUAUGGGGUCAUUGUAGGGUCAUCGGGGCACGGAUAUGGGGUCAUUGUAGGGUCAUCGGGGCACGGAUAUGGGGGCACUGUAGGGUCAUCAGGGCACAGCCAUAGGGUCAUUGUAGGGUCAUCAUGGCACGGCUAUGGGGUCAUCAUAGGGUCAUCGGGGCACGG